AAGUCGUAACAAGGUCUCCGUUGGUGAACCAGCGGAGGGAUCAUUACCGAGUUUACAACUCCCAAACCCCUGUGAACCUACCUAUCGUUGCUUCGGCGGACUCGCCCCAGCCCGGACGCGGACUGGACCAGCGGCCCGCCGGGGACCUCAAACUCCUGUAUUCCAGCAUCUUCUGAAUACGCCGCAAGGCAAAAACAAAUGAAUCAAAACUUUCAACAACGGAUCUCUUGGCUCUG
rnacentral:misc_RNA from 1 species